UAGGGGAGAGGCGUUGUGCCGUGAGGUGUUGCUGUUUUUUGAAACCAGGUUUGCUGUUCAUUUGAGCAAUAUGAGAUGGAAUGGAGUUCUGUGCAAUAAUGGAUAUAUUUAAUACUGUACACUUUCUUGAUUUUGUUCUGGAUUUGGGGACUGUGAAAAGACCCCUGGUGACAUGUCUGCUGGGUGCGGGAGCAGUAUGAUGAUGUGUUGAGCUCUGGCCAGCAGGCCUUCCUAUUGGAGGAGACAAAUCAGAGUCCAGACAUGUUCCAGACGUGUAGGUAGUCUGCCUCCAGCGGGGAAGGCCUCUGUCAGCCUGGACUAUGUGACGGACAAGUUGAAAGAUCUCAGUGGACACAGAGAGCUUAGUGACCUGGCAAGCAGCCUGUUGAGAACGAGCUGAGCUUCAGUCUCAAGCCUGCAGAGGACACUGGCCCUAGGACCAUGCCUCAGGACUACCUGGUAUGAUGACUCCUUGCUGUCCCCAGUCCACCUGGCCGUGCUGCUGCUCCAGUUUCAACUGUUCUGCCUGCGGCUAUGGAACCCUGACCUGUUCACCGGACGUGCUUGUUGCACCCUCGACAACUACUAUGAUUAUUAUUAUUUGACCAUGCUGGUCAUUUAUGAACAUUUUAACAUCUUGACCAUGUUCUGUUAUAAUAUCCACCCUGCACAGCCAGAAGAGGACUGGCCACCCCUCAUAGCCUGGUUCCUCUCUAGGUUUCUUCCUAGGUUUUUGGCCUUUCUAGGGAGUUUUUCCUAGGGAGUUUUUCCUAGCCACCGUGCUUCUUUCACAUGCAUUGCUUGCUGUUUGGGGUUUUAGGCUGGGUUUCUGUACAGCACUUUGAGAUAUCAGCUGAUGUACGAAGGGCUAUAUAAAUAAAUUUGAUUUGAUUUGAUUUGAUUCAAAAUGUACACUGAAGAUGGAUGUGGAGGACCAAGCUGAUAUGGCUGUGUGAUGCUCAGCGUCAAAGUUUAGCACAAAGAGUAAGACACGUGAAAGUAACAGUAAGCACUGUCUAAAUGUUUUUACAAAUAUUAUUAUUAUUGUUGGGAAGGGCCUGUAAGUAAGCAUUUCACUGUUAGUCUACAGCUGUUUAGGAAGCAUGUGUAAAUUAAAAUGUUAUUUGAAAUGAAGUCUGUUUGGUUUAGAAAGAAAUUCAAAUCAAAUCAAAUGUGUCAUAUACUCUGAAAACCGUGACAUGCUUACUUACAACAAAGAAAAUAGAGUUAGGAAAAUAUUUACUAAAUAAACAAAAGUUUUGAAAAAAGUUACAAUAACAAGGCUAUAUACAGGAAGUACCGGUACAGAGUCAAUGUGCGAGUACAGGUUAGUCGAGGUAAUUUGUACAUGUAGGUAGGGGUAAAGUGACUAUGCAUAGAUGAUAAACAGCGAGCAGCAGCAGUGUAAAAACAAAGGGGGGGUGUCAUUGGCAAAUAGUCCGGGUGGCCAUUUGAUUAAUUGUUCAGCAGUCUUACGGCUUGGGGGUAGAAGCUGUUAAGGAGCCUUUUGGACCUAGACUUGGUGCUCCGGUACUGCUUGCCAUGUGGCAGCAGAGAGAACAGUCUAUGUGUUGCCGCUUUGCUUGUUUGAUGGUUCGUCUGAGGGCAUAGCGGGAUUUCUUAUAAGCAUCCGGAAUAGUGCCCCACUCCUUGAAAGCGGCUGAUCUAGCCUUUAGCUCAGUGUGGAUGUUGACUGGCAGGUUACCAGGAGGAGAGAAUGCCAAGAGUGUGCAAAGCUGUCAUCAAGGCAAAGGGUGGCUACUUUGAAGAGUCUCAAAUAUAAAAUAUAUUUAGAUUUGUUUAACACUUUUUUGCUUACCACAUGAUUCCAUAUGUG
rnacentral:lncRNA from 1 species